CAAAACAGAAUAUAAACAUGCUGAAAGAGGACCAGUCAUGUGGCAAGUGGUUUUCAUUGCCUUUUUAAAGGAAGAGUUAUGAAAAAGGAAAAAAGUAAGAUCAAUCUCAGAAUACAAAAAGAAACAAAACAAAUACACAAUGUCUACAAUAAUAAUGAUGACCUGGAUGCCACACUCCGCACAAGAAACAAAGGAAAGCAAAACUGUGAAGAAGUCAGCAGUACCUUACAUGCUCUAUACUCCGUGGCCUCAAAUCGAUAACCCUGCUCUCUCUUGUUGGUGUGUCCAUGGAAAAGGUGCAUGACAGCAGAAACAGACAGAGACCUUAAAAAGCAAUUAAGGGUGGCGCCAAACUCCUUGAAGAAGAAUCAGAGAAAGCAAGUUAAAAGGCUGGUUUAUGUGUCUACAUUGAAGCGCUGAAGAAUUUGCUUGUGAGUUGGCAAUUUCUCUUUCAAGGCAGCUCUUCUUCACUGGUAUUGGCAAGCUCUAGAUUUCAGAACUGAUUCACCUGCACCGCGUUAUUUAUGAGCUGCUUUUUCCCUUUAAGUGCCCAGCCUUACAUUAACAGUAUGACUAGCUUCACUGCAGAGCUCAACUAUGUCCAUCACAUAAAUGGAAGGUUCAUUAGAGCAUCUAUUAAAAGGAUUUUCAAAGGUAAAAGAGCAUUUUAAAACCAUUAGGGUCCCUUAAGUUAGGUUCUACAGAAGAAAUGUUACAGAACUGCUAUUUAAUGCCAUCAACCAGACACAAUUGCCACAGGUAAUCAACAGUAAUUUGGAUUACCUUGCCAAAGGUCCCUGCCAAAAAAAGAAGCCAUUGCGGAUAGUGAGGAGACAGAGGCUUGGUCAAACUGGAAUAAAAAGUGGAUGAAGAGAAGGGUGAGUCUCUGAGGGCAGACAACGGUAAGCACAAGUUAGAUAGUUUGUCCCAGGUUUUCACUAGCAUCAUCUAGAUCCGAUUUUUAUAACAAACAAACAUUUGCUGCCAACCUCCUAAAUUUUUUAAACAACAGCAGCCAAGACUGACUUCUAUUCGGCACAAUUACAUAAGACCAAGCAGUGCAUUGCUCUCGUUUUUGAAGCUUUGUUUUAAGCUCCCUCAUUAAUCUUUCAGUCUUUUCCCAUCUCUGCCUGACUAUAACUGCCCUGAAUUUAUCCAAGCCUGCAGCAUGCCAGGCUCACUGGUGUCUAAAUCACUGAGAGCUGAAUACACAUUCUACUCAUGGGACUCUACAUUUCCAUCAGAAAGAACCAAUCACAGCUUAGGAGAGGUAAACCUCUUUUUAAUUGUAUUCUAUGAUACUAACAGGCAUUCAUUACACAUGGACCUUAAAACAAGAUUUGCUCUUGGCUGCUCAUAAUUGUAUUUCUACAGCAGUUUAAACCGUUGGCACCUGCAAUUGCUAGCAGGCCUGAGCUAAGAAUUUCUAUUAUCCCAGUUUCAAGGGUUACAUUUAAAAUAAAACUCAGAGGGGCAAAACAUUACAUACACACAUAUUUACACAAAUUAAAUACUAUGCACAAGUCAAUACCUUCUGCACACAAAACUACAUUAAACUCAAUUAGCCCUAAGCAAAACUACAGGAAGCAGGAUUUCUGUGAACCAACAGAGCUGUUCUGUAUAAUAAAGAAUAUAAAAGCAGCUAGAUUAUAGAAUUCUGCAGAAGUCAAUAAAUGUUUUUUAAAAAAUCAUUAUCAAUCCUGAUCUCUAAAUUAAUUAACUUAAGCAAAAUUAACAUAAAACAGUCCAUCUCAAGAAAUUUAUACACAGAUAACCUCUGACU